GAUGAACGCUGACAGAAUGCUUAACACAUGCAAGUCGACUGGAAUUCUUCUUCGGAAGUUAGUACGGUGGCGGACGGGUGAGUAACGCGUAAAGAAUUUGCCCUUUAGACUGGGACAACUAACCGAAAGGUUAGCUAAUACCGGAUAUUAUGAGAUCUUGGCAUCAAGAACUUAUGAAAGCUAUAUGCGCUAGAGGAGAACUUUGCGUCCCAUUAGCUAGUUGGUAGGGUAAUGGCCUACCAAGGCAACGAUGGGUAGCCGGCCUGAGAGGGUGAACGGCCACAAGGGGACUGAGACACGGCCCUUACUCCUACGGGAGGCAGCAGUGGGGAAUAUUGGACAAUGGACCAAAAGUCUGAUCCAGCAAUUCUGUGUGCACGAUGAAGGUCUUCGGAUUGUAAAGUGCUUUCAGGUGGGAAGAAGAAAGUGACGGUACCACCAGAAGAAGCGACGGCUAAAUACGUGCCAGCAGCCGCCGCUGUAAC
rnacentral:rRNA from 1 species